UUUACAUUAAAUUGUGUUUACAAUUAAAAAAUACGACUAACUAAUACUAAUAUUUAUUGGUGCACUUUCGUUUCUAAAACAAUGACAUAUAUUGCAAUGGAUCUUGGAAAUAGUAGUCAUUUAACCUCAACAGCGUUCAAUCCGCCGUGGAAAAUGAACUACCUUUCCCAUAAUGCAACUGGUCAUGAUCAGGAACUUCCGCGAAAUUCAAACCCCCACUGUGUACUGGACGAAGGACACGCGAUCUUUUGUCUUGUGGAGUUUUAUAUAACACAGUAAGUAAGAGACGCAACAUGCAUGACGGGGAUGAUAAAAUAAUCAAUAAGAAGUUUGAAUCUUUAAAUGAAUGCUGAACCCCAAAGAAGCCAAACGAAGAUUAGAUGUUUUCUGUACUAAACCACAAAUCAGCAUUUGCUGGUAAUCAUAACAGUUACAAAGUGACUCAUUCAUUCCAACUAUUUAUAUCUUAGUAAAACAAUGUUUUUGAUAUUCUAGAAAGGCAUGUAUUCAAGUUUUAGCUUAAUAAAGAUGGUUUACUAUGAUCUCUUAUUCUCUUCAGUCCUGGUCAGUGCAGUUUACAAGACUGUGUUGUUAAAAGGCCAGAUUUAUUUGCUUUAUUUUAUGGUGUAACAUAACCAACCCCACUUGAAGAAUAACCACAUGCUUUUGUAAAGAAUUUAAUAUGCAAGCAUUUUGUAUGUGUUUGUUUUAAUCUUUUAUUUUACAGUAUAAAGUUUAAUUAUAUUUGCAUUUUGUUUGCAGAAGUCAUGUACCACACUUUGUCAACAAUAAAUGUUGUUUCUGCAAUCUGGAUAAAGAAUAAUAUAUUACUGCCUCUUGGAGAACAGCCGGCCGUACUCCAGACAGAGACAAAGACGUGAGGACAUCUAUUGCUUUUAAGUCAUGUACCACACUUUGUCAACAAUGCAUGUUGUUCCUGCAAUCUGGAUGAAGAAUAAUAUAUUACUGCCUCUUGGGAAAACAGCAGACUGUACUCCAGACAGAGACAAAGACAUGAGGACAUCCAUUGCUUUUGUUAAGG